rnacentral:misc_RNA from 1 species
AAGAAUCGCAGAGUCGUGAGCAUGUCCGUUUUUGCAUGUUUUAUACACAUGCUCCCACAUGCACAGAUAUCCUGUUAUCAUUUUCAGAUUCAUAUUUGUUUGGUUGUUUUGAUUUUGCAGUCACCUGGUGAAUUAAUUGAAAUGGCACAUAAAUACUAUGAUGAUACAGCUCUUCCCAAAUUGGUGGCAGAUUUUGGCUCCCUUGAACUUUCACCAGUUGAUGGAAGAACUUUGACAGAUUUUAUGCAUACCAGGGGUUUGCAGAUGUGUUCUUUAGGGCGCGUGGUUGAACUUGCAGACAAACUUCCUCACGUGCAAUCACUCUGUAUACAUGAAAUGAUUGUUCGAGCCUACAAACACAUAUUACAAGCUGUUGUAGCUGCUGUUAAUAGUGCUGCUGACUUGGCUGCAUCAAUUGCUUCAUGUCUAAAUACAUUAUUAGGAACACCUUCAUCUGAAAAUGAGCAUACAGAUAUUGUAAAUGAUGAUAAACUUAAGUGGAAGUGGGUGGAAACUUUCCUUUUGAAAAGGUUCGGAUGGAAGUGGAAGCAUGAAAGCUGCGAGUAUCUAAGAAAGUUUGCAAUUCUUCGUGGGCUGUCCCACAAGGUUGGACUUGAGCUCCUUCCCAGGGAUUAUGAUAUGGACACUGCAUCCCCCUUUAAGAAGUCAGAUAUCAUAAGCAUGGUCCCUGUUUAUAAGCAUGUUGCAUGUUCAUCUGCAGAUGGACGCACAUUGUUGGAAUCUUCUAAAACUUCCUUGGAUAAAGGUAAAUUGGAGGAUGCUGUUAAUUAUGGCACUAAGGCACUGUCAAAACUUGUGUCAGUCUGUGGCCCUUAUCAUCGAAUGACAGCAGGAGCUUAUAGUCUACUGGCUGUAGUGCUCUACCACACUGGAGAUUUUAAUCAG